UUAGAACCAAGAUUGAGAAGAUGGA
rnacentral:piRNA from 1 species